UGAACCAGCAACUUGGGGGAAUGUAUAGCUUCGGCUAAUUAUACUGGGCUGUUUAAUUUAUUUAGAUUAAGUCUUCUCUGGCUUAUUCUUAAUAGAUUAUUCAUUUCAAUAACCGCACAUCAGUAAUGCGGAGUAUUUGCAUAAUUAUGUUAUGCAGAUUAAAUAUAUAAACAUUUAUAUAUUUAGUUGAUUAAUUUGUCAUCCUUAUUAACAGUUUAAGGGGAAUAAAUUAUAUUGUGAAAUAUAAAGAUAAUUUAUUCAAAUGGACAAGUAUAAGAUCGAUUUUAUCGAAUAAAGUUCUAGAUGAUUUUUUAAUUGAUUAUGACAUAUAUCUCGUCUAUGUGUCUUGACCAAAUUACGUGCCAGCAGUCGCGGCAAUACGUAGAAGACUAGUGUUAUUCAUCUUUAGUAGGUUUAAAGGGUACCUAGACGGUAUAAUUAGUCUUAAAUAGGAUACGAUUAUACUAGAGUUAUAUAUAAGAAGGGGAGUAUUUAUGGAGUAGAGUUGAAAUUCUUUGAUACCAUAACGACUGGUAACGGCGAAAGCAACCUUUUAUCUAAUAACUGACGUUGAGGGACGAAGGCUCGGGUCACGAACAGGAUUAGAUACCCUAGUAGUCCAAGCAGAGAAUGAUGAAUGCCAUAGAUUAGAUAUUUAUUUAGUCUAUAAAUGAAAGUGUAAGCAUUUCACCUCAAGAGUAAUGUGGCAACGCAGGAACUGAAAUCAUUAGACCGUUUCUGAAACCAGUAGUGAAGUAUGUUAUUUAAUUCGUAUUUACGCGAAAAACCUUACCACAACUUGAAUAUUAUCUAUUUAGAUAUUACAAGCGUUGCACGGCUGUCUUCAGUUAAUGUCGUGAGAUAUUGGUUAAUUCCAUUAAAUUAACGGAAACCCUUGCUUUAUUUGCGAUUUGUUCUAAAUAAAGCAGUCCACCAUUUAUAACGGAUAUAAUAAUAGGGACCAAGACAAGUCA
rnacentral:rRNA from 1 species